CAGAAAUGCAAACCAGACUUCCAGGAAAUUAAUUCUGGUGUCUCUGAGGAGCACCAUCGAAGGCUUGCCCCUGGGGUGAGCUAAAGCUGAAGAGAAUGCUUUGGAGGAUAAAUUCCAGGCUGACCCCUUGGAAAUGAGUGGAGCUGUAUGUCUUGCCGAGCACAUCGCCUCAGAAUGAGUGCACCUGGGAGAUUAUGCGGGGAAUUGAAGAUGAACAUCAAUUUACUUGGGCCUGAAAAUAAAAGUUUCAUGGCAAGAAAAAUCAGUAAUGCGAAUCUUCCUUCGAACUCGGAGGUCUGAGGACAUUGAGGGAAAAUAUUGAGAGUCAUGCCUGCAGGUCGCUGUCAUUGUCCCUGAAAUAGUUUUUGAAUCCUACUAUCAGAAAAUAAUGAUCUUGGGGUUGAGGAGAUGACUAGCAGAGCAAAAUAAAAUGGAGAAAAGAAUUUUCUUAGGCUGUGAAGGGCGCAUCUGCUGUGGACGCACAAGGUCAAGGCUGGAGAGAAUCUUAUUUUCUGUGUGAAUCCAUGGCUGUUUUGCAUUUUGAGUAUAGAAGGAUAUCCAGAAGCUACCCUGAAUCAUGGAGAUCCUAUGGGUAUGGUUUAUGAGCUCCAUGGGUCAACCCAAGGACCAGCUACAGGCCUGAGUGGUAGGUCUCCACUGUGGCUCAGUUUCAAACAAUUUGCUAACCUUCAAGACGUUACUUGGGUCUUGUCUACAGCAUCACACACAGAUACAGGAUAAGACUGCCCCUUGACUGAUGACCCACACAC